rnacentral:rRNA from 1 species
ACUGCGGAGGAUCAUUACCGAGUGAGGGCCCUCUGGGUCCAACCUCCCACCCGUGUUUAUUUUACCUUGUUGCUUCGGCGGGCCCGCCUUAACUGGCCGCCGGGGGGCUUACGCCCCCGGGCCCGCGCCCGCCGAAGACACCCUCGAACUCUGUCUGAAGAUUGAAGUCUGAGUGAAAAUAUAAAUUAUUUAAAACUUUCAACAACGGAUCUCUUGGUUCCGGCAUCGAUGAAGAACGCAGCGAAAUGCGAUACGUAAUGUGAAUUGCAAAUUCAGUGAAUCAUCGAGUCUUUGAACGCACAUUGCGCCCCCUGGUAUUCCGGGGGGCAUGCCUGUCCGAGCGUCAUUGCUGCCCUCAAGCCCGGCUUGUGUGUUGGGCCCCGUCCCCCGAUCUCCGGGGGACGGGCCCGAAAGGCAGCGGCGGCACCGCGUCCGGUCCUCGAGCGUAUGGGGCUUUGUCACCCGCUCUGUAGGCCCGGCCGGCGCUUGCCGAUCAACCCAAAUUUUUAUCCAGGUUGACCUCGGAUCAGGUAGGGAUACCCGCUGAACUUAAGCAUAUCA